rnacentral:rRNA from 1 species
AAGGUUUGGUCCUGGCCUUUUUAUUGGCUCCCAGUAAACUUACACAUGCAAAUAUCCKUGUCCCRGUGAGAAUGCCCUCUAUAUCAAUAUGAUCRAAAGGAGCGGGCAUCAAGCUCACUACCUAUAGUUGCUCAUAACGCCUUGCUCGACCACACCCCCACGGGAUACAGCAGUGAUUAAGAUUAAGCAUAUAAACGAAAGUUUGACUAAGUUAUACUACAACAGGGUUGGUAAAUUUCGUGCCAGCCACCGCGGUCAUACGAUUAACCCUAGUCAAUAAAAUACGGCGUAAAGCGUGAUUAAAAACAAAAACCAAAUAAGACUAAGCUUAAACUAAGCUGUAAAAAGCCCUAGUNNNNNNNNNNNNCUCUAARCGAAAGUAGUCUUAUAAAUUUUGAAUUCACGAUAGCUAAGAUCCAAACUGGGAUUAGAUACCCCACUAUGCUUAGCCCUAAACAUAGAUAGUCAACUAACAAGACUAUUCGCCAGAGAACUACUAGCUACAGCUUGAAACUUAAAGGACUUGGCGGUGCUUUACAUCCCUCUAGAGGAGCCUGUUCUAUAAUCGAUAAACCCCGAUACACCUUACCACCUUUAGCAAAAACCAGCCUAUAUACCGCCAUCUCCAGCAAACCUUAACAAAGCCUCACAGUAAGCACAAUUAUNAUACAUAUAAACACGUUAGGUCAAGGUGUAGUCUAUAAGGUGGGAAGAAAUGGGCUACAUUUUCUACACACUAGAACACCUCACGAUAACUUUUAUGAAACUAAAAGUCCAAGGCGGAUUUAGUAGUAAGUUAAGAAUAGAGAGCCUAACUGAAUUGGGCAAUAAAGCGCGCACACACCGCCCGUCACCCUCUUCAAGUCCUACAAACAACAAAACANNNNNNNNNNNNNNNUACUAGUAGYAUKAGAAGAGAUAAGUCGUAACAAGGUAAACAUACUGGAAAGUGUGUUUGGAAUAAC